rnacentral:rRNA from 1 species
AUGGAUGAGAAGUAUCGGGUGUUGUUUGAUGCAAUUAACAAGCAAGCAGGGAACUCAAGAUCAGAAGUGGAGAUAAAAGAAGAGGUGCAUCCUUUGCAAAUGCCCCAUGUAAAAUUAGAAGGGCCUGAGAGUUAUGUGAGUUGGGCAGAGCAUACAGAGACCAUUUUGGUCUUUAGGAAGCUUGAAGGUUAUAUUUUAGGCAUGGUGGAGAAGCCUGCAGAUGAGAGUUCCAAAGAAGGCCAGAAGUGGAAGGCGACAAAUGCACUUGCGAGGGCCUGGUUAUUGAGCUCAGUAUCACCUCAGAUCGCUAAGCAAAUUGAAAGGAUUAAAGAAGCUUCUGAAAUCUGGAGAUUAUUGAAAGGGACAUUCUCAGGAGUAGGAAAUGAAAUGCUUGCUUGCAAGAUUCAGAAGGAGUUGCAGGACCUAAGUCAAGGCGAGAAGACAGUGGUUGACUAUGUUUCUGAGCUGAAACGACUUUGGAGCGAUUUGGAUUAUUAUGAUCCAAUUGAGAUGGAGUGUGGCAAGUGCAUUGAAAAAUACAAUAAAUGGACCGAGAGGAGGCAUGUUAGGGAUUUUCUAAAUGGACUUAAUUCUAAGUUUGAAAACAGAAGGGCUGCAUUGUAUGGUAGUGGGAAACUACCUAACCUGGAGCAAGCAAUAUCUGCAAUUAUUAGUGAGGAAACUCGGUUGAAGCUGGAGGCUACAUGA